ensembl:ncRNA lncRNA:CR45643 long non-coding RNA:CR45643
ACAGACUCCGUCUUCGACCUUUCGUAGACAAAGCAGAGCCGCAACUGGCGGCAAUAACCACGCGACAAGAACGGCGCUCGUCGACGGUGACGCUGUCGCUGCUGAGACUCGUUAAUGUUGCUGAUACCAUGGCCAUAGCCAUAGCCAUAGCCAUAGGUUGCCAGUUGCGAGUUGGUGUGGCCGUUGCUGUUGCUGUUGUUGCCGCAUUGGAUUCUGUUCCUCUGUUCCUGCUGGUGCUUCUGCUUCUGCCGCUGCCACUGCCACUGCGAUGUUGUAAAAGUUUUGCGCACAAAUCAGCAGCACAGCCAAAGGAUACGCAAAGUGGAUGAAUAACAGCGGCAACAACAUCACCACACUGAGCGAUCAAACAUUCAAACGGAAAUGUAUUUGCUUAAAUGGAACACAUUAUUAUUAAACAUAAGCAUGAUUGAGAAAAUAAUUACAUAGAAAUACGCCUUUU